rnacentral:rRNA from 1 species
AUUGAACGCUGGCGGCAUGCCUUACACAUGCAAGUCGAACGGUAACAGGUCUUCGGAUGCUGACGAGUGGCGAACGGGUGAGUAAUACAUCGGAACGUGCCUAGUAGUGGGGGAUAACUACUCGAAAGAGUGGCUAAUACCGCAUGAGAUCUACGGAUGAAAGCAGGGGAUCGCAAGACCUUGUGCUACUAGAGCGGCCGAUGGCAGAUUAGGUAGUUGGUGGGAUAAAAGCUUACCAAGCCGACGAUCUGUAGCUGGUCUGAGAGGACGAUCAGCCACAGUGGGAAUGAGACAAGGCCCAGACGCCUACGGGAGGCAGCAGUGGGGAAUUUUGGACAAUGGGCGCAAGCCUGAUCCAGCAAUGCCGCGUGCAGGAUGAAGGCCUUCGGGUUGUAAACUGCUUUUGUACGGAACGAAAAGCCCUGGGUUAAUACCCUGGGGUCAUGACGGUACCGUAAGAAUAAGCACCGGCUAACUACGUGCCAGCCGCCGCAGUAAUAC